rnacentral:rRNA from 1 species
UAAAGAUUCAUCGCUGAUAGAUAGGCAUGCGUUCCAUUAGGCAGUUGGCGGGGUAACGGCCCACCAAACCGACGAUGGAUAGGGGUUCUGAGAGGAAGGUCCCCCACAUUGGUACUGAGACACGGACCAAACUCCUACGGGAGGCAGCAGCGAGGAAUAUUGGUCAAUGGGCGUAAGCCUGAACCAGCCAAGUCGCGUGAGGGAUGAAGGUUCUAUGGAUCGUAAACCUCUUUUAUAAGGGAAUAAAGUGCGGGACGUGUCCCGUUUUGUAUGUACCUUAUGAAUAAGGAUCGGCUAACUCCGUGCCAGCAGCCGCGGUAAUACGGAGGAUCCGAGCGUUAUCCGGAUUUAUUGGGUUUAAAGGGUGCGUAGGCGGCCUUUUAAGUCAGCGGUGAAAGUCUGUGGCUCAACCAUAGAAUUGCCGUUGAAACUGGGAGGCUUGAGUAUGUUUGAGGCAGGCGGAAUGCGUGGUGUAGCGGUGAAAUGCUUAGAUAUCACGCAGAACCCCGAUUGCGAAGGCAGCCUGCCAAGCCAUGACUGACGCUGAUGCACGAAAGCGUGGGGAUCAAACAGGAUUAGAUACCCUGGUAGUCCACGCAGUAAACGAUGAUCACUAGCUGUUUGCGAUACACAGUAA